rnacentral:rRNA from 1 species
UACGUAGGGGGCGAGCGUUGUCCGGAUUCAUUGGGCGUAAAGAGCUCGUAGGCGGCUUGGCAAGUCGGGUGUGAAAACUCCAGGCUCAACCUGGAGACGCCACCCGAUACUGCCAUGGCUAGAGUCCGGUAGGGGACCACGGAAUUCCUGGUGUGAGCGGUGGAAAUGCGCAGAUAUCAGGAGGAACACCGGUGGCGAAGGCGGUGGUCUGGGCCGGAACUGACGCUGAGGAGCGAAAGCGUGGGGAGCGAACAGG